rnacentral:lncRNA from 1 species
AUUUGGAUUUGACUCAGGAAGCCCCAGCAGCCCUUCUGUGUUGGAAGCCCCUCUUCUGCCAUCUUCUAUCCCUUUCCUGGCCAUUCAUAGACGCCAUCUACGUGUCCUGGAAUUCCUCAGAUUUGUCACCAACGUGUGCUACAACAACACACCAGGACGGUUUGUGGAGCUGUUUCCCAAUCGAUGGUCAUCCUCUUCAUGUCUGACUUUGGGGAUCAUGUGGGACCUUUCAUUGAACUCCCCCCCAAAUGAGUGAUUGACACAGUUCCGAGUUCCCCACACAGGAAGAGAAAGAAGUCACUGGACCCAGGAGCUGGUCACGAGCAGGAAGCAUUUGAUUUGUGUGUAAAGCGACUCCCUGCCUCUGGAUUUCCCAAGAACCAUGUGCAUCUCCAAGAGCAAUGAGGAAGUCCCGCAGCGGCAGAAACUGAAAGGUUGCAGCCUGCUCAUCUCCACCAUAAGCCUUUCCAUUGUCUGCUGUGUGAAGAUGCCCGUCUUUGGCUCAUUAGGGACAGGAGUGUUUUGGGUCUCAUUGCCAUACUACAACAUAUGGCAAAUGUUUGUAUUGAGCAAUGCUGUUGGGAGAAAUUUUGGGUCAGUAAAAAGGGCUUUGCAAUUUUGUAAAAGGGCUUUUACAAUCACUGACCUCACAGGGCCACUAUGAAGAUCAAAUGUAUAAGAAAAAUACUAAUUGGUUCGAAAAGUACAAACAAAAAACCCAAACCUCAAUUCAAAGUCAUGUACAUGUUGGUUCCCCCAUUAGACUAGAAGCUCCUUGAGAGCAGGGACUGUCUUUUGCCUCUUUUUGAUAUCUCCAGAGCUGAGUACAAUGCCUGGAACAUUGUUGUUGUUGUUCGGUAGUCUUCAGUUGUGUCUGAAUCUUCAUGACCCCAUUUGGGAUUUUUUUGGCAAAGAUACUAGAGUGAUUUGCCAUUUUCUUCUCCAGCUCAUUUUACAGAGGAGGAAAAUUGAGGCAAAUAGGGUGAAAUGACUUACUGGGGUCACAUAUCUAGUAAGUGUUUGAGGCCAUAUAUGAACUCAGGUCUUUCUGACUCCAUGCCUGGCAGUCUAUCCACUGUGCCACCUAACUGCCCUGGCACAUAGUAGGCUUUUAAUAAAUGCUAGUUGUUUGACUAUUGGACA